rnacentral:rRNA from 1 species
ACGGAAGGCAGCAGUGGGGAAUAUUGGGCAAUGGGCGCAAGCCUGACCCAGCAACGCCGCGUGAAGGAAGAAGGCUUUCGGGUUGUAAACUUCUUUGACAGGGGAAGAGUAGAAGACGGUACCCUGAAAACAAGCCACGGCUAACUACGUGCCAGCAGCCGCGGUAAUACGUAGGUGGCAAGCGUUGUCCGGAUUUACUGGGUGUAAAGGGCGUGUAGCCGGGUCGGCAAGUCAGAUGUGAAAUCUGGAGGCUUAACCUCCAAACUGCAUUUGAAACUGCUGAUCUUGAGUGCCGGAGAGGUAAUCGGAAUUCCUUGUGUAGCGGUGAAAUGCGUAGAUAUAAGGAAGAACACCAGUGGCGAAGGCGGAUUACUGGACGGUAACUGACGGUGAGGCGCGAAAGCGUGGGGAGCGAACAGGAUUAGAUACCCUGGUA